AAAUGAGGUAAAAACCCACGAAAAUGAGGUGGAAAAGCAGCAGGAAUUGGUGGGAAAAUGUUGGGAUGGGGAAAAAAAAAUGAAAAUGAGAUGGAAAAGCAACGGGAUGAGGGGGAAAAUUCCAAAAUUGUGUAAAAAUCUGAGGGGGUAAGGGCCAAAAUACCAAAAUUUGGUGGGAAAAUACCAAAAUGAGGUGGAAAAAUACAAAGAUUAGGUGGAAAAGCAAUGGAAUAAAGCCCAAAAUAGUAAAAUGAAGUUGAAAACCUGCCAGAAUGAGGGGAAAAUACUUGGAUAAGGGAAAAAGCUCCGGAAUUUAGUUGGAAAAAUCGGAAUGAGAGGGAAAAAUAAUGGGAUGAGGGGAAAAAUAUCAAAAUUAAUUGGAAAAUCAGUGGGAUAAAGGGGGAAAAUAAAAAAUUGAGGCUGGAAAUCAGCAGGGUGAGGGGGAAAAUUCUGGGAAAAGGUGGGAAAAAGUGGAAAAAAACCUGGAAUGAGGUGGGAAAUCACGGAGAGGAGGUGGGAAUGGAGGAAAUGGUGGAGGAUCCGUGCAUGGGGUGAGGAUCCGGAGCGAUCCCGAGGGAAAUCCCGACCGGGCACGACCAACUCGGGAUUUGGGAUGGGAUCCGUUUAUUCCCAACGGAAGCAGAGCAGCAGAAAAAGAGCCCAAAUCCAACUUUUCCCUCCCCCGAUUCCCUCGUUCCUGCUUUUCCCAGGGGAGUUCUCCAUGGAUUUCUCCGAGGUGAAUCCGUCCCACCCCGAGUUUUCCAUGGAUUUCUCCAUGAAUCCAUCCCACCGCGAGUUUUCCAUGGAUUUCUCGGCGAUGGGAAAGUUUUCCAUGGAUUUCUCCGGGGUGAAUCCAUCCCCCGGCAGGAGUUUCCCGUGGAUUUUUCCAAAGGGUCAAACCUUUGGGAAUAUCCUGCUCCCUGGGAUUCCUCCCGGGAAUCUGCUCCUUUUUCCAUGGAUCCGCAGCUCCUUGCCGAGGUCCGGCUUCCCGGAAACAGCCGCGGGUGGGGGGUGGAGAGACGUGGAAUGGUGGGACCGGGGAGUUCUGGAAUGGCUGAGGUUGGAAAGAUCUCCAAGAACAUCAAGGUCAAGGUUGGAAAGUCAUGGAAUGAUGGGAACAUGGAGCUGUGGAAUCCAAUGUUGGAAUCAUGGAAACAUGAAAACAUGGAGGGAAACAUCAAAAAUGGGCAGGAACCAUCCAAAAUGGGAUGAAACCAGGAAAAAUGAGAAGGAACCACCAAAAAUGGGAAGGAACCAUCAGAAAUGGGAAGGAGCCAUCAAAGACAGGAGGAAACCAUGAAAGAUGGGGAGAAACCAUCGAAGACAGGAGGAAACCAUCGGAAACGAGAAGGAACCAUCAAAAAUGGGAAGAAACCUUCAAGAAGAGGAGGAAACCAGGAAAAAUGGGAGGAAACCAUCA
rnacentral:lncRNA from 1 species